rnacentral:rRNA from 1 species
CGGCCUACGGGCGGCAGCAGUGAGGAAUUUUGCGCAAUGGGGGAAACCCUGACGCAGCAACGCCGCGUGAGUGAUGAAGGCCUUCGGGUCGUAAAGCUCUGUCAAGUGGGAAGAAUCUGCUUUGUGAUAAUACCACAGAGCACUGACGGUACCACUGAAGGAAGCACCGGCUAACUCCGUGCCAGCAGCCGCGGUAAUACGGGGGGUGCUAGCGUUAUUCGGAAUCAUUGGGCGUAAAGGGCGCGUAGGCGGUAUUUUAAGUCAGAUGUGAAAGCCCUCGGCUUAACCGAGGAAGUGCAUGUGAUACUAAGAGACUUGAGUAUGGGAGAGGGAAGCGGAAUUCCUGGUGUAGCGGUGAAAUGCGUAGAUAUCAGGAGGAACACCGGUGGCGAAGGCGGCUUCCUGGACCAAUACUGACGCUGAGGCGCGAAGGCGUGGGGAGCAAACAGGAUUAGAUACCCUGGUAGUC